GGGUUUCUUUUGGGAGGUCCCUCCUUUGUGGAAUCUUUAAUCAUGAGCCUGAAUCUUCAAAUGCAGGAUUUGUUAUUUGAAGAAGUUCUAACUUGUGGCUGGAAACAAGGGUUUGCAGCUGAAGUACUGUGCUGUUCCAAAGCAAAUUGAAUUCACACUGCCAAAUAAUCUCUCCUUCCCCAGUAGCUCUGUAAGUAAUGCCAUUAAGAUGUUUGCAUAAUCUUCAUAUUUUAGUGACUGUACUGCUGCUUGAGUACCGUGCAAUUCUCUGUGUAUUAUGUUUGUUCCUGACUAAUACUUUGGUAACACAAUAAGAAUAUCUGGGAGAAAAAGCAGUAUUGCAUAGCAUGCAGCUACUUUGCUCUACCACCACCUCCCCACAGAUUAGUUAAGUUUUAUUCUCUUGUAUGCUCUGGGAAACCAAGACGUCCACAAAUGCUGCAGGAAGUAAUAAUGAUGAACUACUGGGUGGCUCAGUUAAUUAGCAAAAAUCAUUUGAGUUCAGACCAUUAAUAAUGCAUUUUUAACUAUAGAUCUGGUCUGUGUAUGCAGAGCAAUGCAUUGUAGUGCAGUUACCCAAGGUAACUCAGAGCAGUGUAGACUCAGUUUCAGAAGCAGCACAACACUGGUCCAGUAUUUGUAGGGGUGGUAAAGCUGUUCUCUUCCUACCACUCAGUUAUCCUGCCUUAAAUCAGAAAUAUCCAACCUUAAAUCAAAAAUACCUGAAAAGCAACAGAUCAUUUUAUUUCCUUGGUAUCUAUAGUAAUAUCAAUAAAGGGAUGGAUGGAGCAGGGGAGUGGGGAAUUUACUCCUCCGUCACCUGCUUUGGAAACGCCGUAGUAGUUACACGUAGUUGGUAAUUUCUUUGCAUUCAGAUAUUAAUGAUCGAACAUAUUGGACAUCCUGAAUGAACACGAACAUCCUGAAUACUUGGUAAAUACGAUGCUCGUGGUAAAAAGCUUUUUACUUGACGGAUACCUACUGUGAAGAGACUGCUGCUGUUGUGCCCUUUCAGAGCUUUAGAGGUUGUAAAAUUAUUUCACAUUAUUACCUAGGACACUUCAAAACUGUUGCAUGUGACAAUAGAGUUGAAAAGUCCAUAAUUAAAGAACUCAUUCUAUCGAAGUAUGCGUUCCACAUUGACUUACCAUCCUUUUCUAUUCCUUCUACCAUAUUUUUACCUGGCAAAGUGCCACAACAAACAGAUGGGGACAGCACCCCGCACCCUUCAGGUGUAGAAAAGCCUUUAGGAUUUGGUAAGCUAGCACCAAACGCUUGGUGUAUGUACUACGCAUAUCAUGCCUGCUCCCAGAGGGGCUGACAGCUUCUGCAUCACGUUGCAGUGUUCCAGUGUCAGUGAGGCGGUAUCUGUGGGAGCGGUCACUUUCUCAUGGUGAUGUCCAAGGAUUCUUGCAAGGGUGAAAUAACUUUGCAGAAUCCAGAGCUGUUCCAGGUCUGUUUCUUUGAUCUUUCCCAUACUUUCCUAAAUAUAUAGUAAUGUAAAUAUUUGGAUUAAUAUCGCUGUUAGUAGUAAAACUAUUACAGUUGACACUGCUGCUGCCACAGGGGAUACUAAAAUGAGCAUGUGAAAGGCAGUAAUGUUCUGUAGUGUGCACUUCCUGAGUGUACUCAGAUACCAUUUAGUGGUGAUUGCAGGGGGAGAAUCCUACACAGGACAGAUAACUGAGACCAACCAGUAGAUGCAAAAAUAACUGCCCAAGAACGAAUAAUUUCUGCCUUCUAUUGCCCCUAAGCAUGUUUGCUACCUCUUGUUCUGAACGUUACAAGAGAUUGAACUUACUGCUCUGUAUUUUCUCUCCAAAUUUCAACGUUUUCACAGGGCCUGUGGGCCUGUUUGGAUUUGUGGAAAAAUUUUAUUUUCUAUAAUAUCAGUAGUUGACAUUCCUAAUACCGGAUAAUGACAGCCAUUUAUAUCUCUUACAGCAGAGAAAACUCUUUUCUAUUGUGCUGUUUCUGACAGAAUAGAGAAAGUUUUUAAAAAUUGUGUUAAUAGAUAAAAGCAUUAAUGGAGAAAGUAAUCUUAAAGACAGUUUUAUUUGACUUGAAGCACUCAGACCCUUGCUUUAUCCAUGUUUUAAGGGCAGUCCAACUAAUUUAGUCUCUGCUCAAUGCUCAUUACAUGGCAUUUCAGAACCAUACAUAUACUUAUCAUUUAUUAUUUCUUAAGGCAAACAAUUACAUUAACAAUACCUAAGGAAUGGAAGAUAACUGGUACGUUGACAAUUAAACUCUUUCUAGACAAUAUAUGCUGUCAGUGGUAUUCUGGGAUUCUUUGAUGACCAGUCGCUGUACUCUCCACUGUUUUAAACAGUCAGUUGUAUCAGAAUUUCCCUUCCCUAAACUUGUCCGCUUUUUGUUCUAAUGCACAGCACAUUAAGUAAACUUAAGUUACAUACUAUGAGAGAAGAUUAUUCCAUAGGGUGAUAUUUUUCCAACAUGAACUCAGUGCUAGAAUAUGUAUUUUAAUGACCGAGAAAUUACAGGCUGUCAAAUAGUUGCUUAGCAAGACUAGAGUAUUCUGAGUUUCUGCUGCCAUUAUUACCACUUUAAUGAAAAUACAUGUAACUAAAAAGAAACUCCUACUGAGUAUAGUUUGGUUAAAAGAAGAAUUUGUCAAAAUCUAAAUGUAUGAAUUGUAGAAAUUUAAAACAGUGUAGUGUGAAAUAUGGACGGUCUGAGAUAGGAAAGCAAUUUAAAAUGGCUGUAAAAAUACCAUCAAUAAAUUGGAUAAGGAGUGAUGCUGAAGUCUAUCCUCAGAAGUAAACCCAAUAUUAGAUUUCACGUUAUAUUGGAAGCUUAGUGUCAGCAUUUGGCAGAUGCAUGCAAAAAUCUAAUGCUGAACUUAGUCAAGCAUUUGUACAUAGAAAGAAUAAUGAAAAGAGAUGAUGGCCAGCUCUUGCAGCCUACAAAAUGGAGAGGCAGCCCUUCAGAGGGAGCAGCAGAUGGUUCUCUUCCUUCAGAAUAUUGUUUGAUGUCACACAGGAAAGGAGCUGUGUUAAAUAAUAGUUUGCAUUUUUCCAGAGUUAUUCUACAGAUUCUGACAGCUGUCUGUACCUACUGCAUUUGCUAUAUGUCAUUACUUAUGUCUUCUAUGGGGAUGCCAAGCCAUUCAGUACUAACAGCAGAACAUGUAAGACUGAAAUGUGGAGAGGAAACAUUGAGACUACAUGAUAUUCAGUUUACAUUGCCUACUUUUUCACAGAAACUGGAUUCCUGCAGCUUUAAGCUGCUUGUAGGUAUUUUGUUGGUUUCAGCUUGUGUGGUCAAAUGCUAUUCAGUGGUCCUGCACUGUGGAGUGCAGGGCAUGUGUCAUUGUGCUAAGGGUAAGAGCAAGGAGUAGAGUACUGGAAGAAAGCUGUCUGUAAAAUGGGCUUGGAGGCUGUGGUGCAUUAUAUCUGUGAUAGAAAAAGCGACUUCUCUUUUUCUGUGUAUAUCAUCUCCCAUCAUACUUAGUCUCUAUAGUCUAGCAGUUUACUAUACUCUAUUGCUAUUAACUGAUCCCAGGCCUGUGCAUGAAUUUUACUGUGUGUAGACAAACAGCCCAGAAGAGGUAAGGCUUGAUGCUGGCAGGAUCCUCAACUGGGCCUUGCAUGUUAUUGUAAUGUAUCUGGGAGAUGUUAAUGAUACAAUUAUGGGAAAUAUGUCACAUUUCAGAUAAUAAAUAGGGAUGGAGAGAAUGCCUAUCUUUUUCACAGAAUGUCUGCAAAUAUUCACAGGAGCUGUACUUACUAUACUUCUCCUUACUAUAUGCUCUUAGUUUCUAUGGAAUUAUUUUAAAUGCCAUAUAUUAUUGAAGGAAAUGGCAAUUGGAGAAUUACAUGUCAUAAGAAGCUGAUAACCGUGGCUUUUAGAUCAUCUUGGGGAUUUUGAUUCAUCUCAAAAGGGAUAGAUGGAGCUCUUGCUGUUUUUCUGCACCUUUUGUUGCUUAUUUUAUUGAGCAACUGAAAUUCAGAUUUCACACAUAUUUGAUUCUUAGAUACUUAUUUUCAUUAAAACUUGCCAGUUAUGUGAGAACUAUGUAUGUUUUUGAGAUAUCUCAUUAAAUGAGAUUUGUAACAGUUUACAUGAUAUUCUGACAGUUUACGAAAUCUAUCAGUCAAAAGCAGAUGGCCUGUGUUGGUAGGCUUUUUCUGUUAUAAUGAAUAUAUUUUCAACAUAUGUAUUUCAUUUAUAAUAUAUUUUCUCAAAGGCUCUUAUUCUUAAAAAUCAUUUAAUCAGCACAUGAUACUCCUACGCUUCAACUUGACACUUAAAUGUUCAGAUGUCAUCUUUCUUACUGAAGUGAACUUCAGAUACAUGAUUAUGCAGCAAAUUAAGUUCUUAAAAUAUCAAUCCUAAAACACCGAAAACAUUUGUUGCAUCCUCGUGCCGAACCCCUUCAUGAAUGUAUUUUGCAAUUAGGUAUCAAGAUGUCCACAGCUUUGACACUUGACCAUUGGAAUUUCUUUCUGAAUGUGGUUGUGUUGGCCAUUGUUGGCCAAGUCUCCUUGAGGUGAGGCCAUGAAGUGACAGUCUGGCUAGGAGAGAAUGGAGGGAAAGAAGAGCUUGUAGAGGUCAGCCCCCAAGGAGGAUGAACUUCCUGUGGCUUGAAGAGUGGCUACUUGACAGCCACCAGGGCUUCUCCCAUCAGUUGCUAUGCUUGGGAGCUUGGUGGAUGGGUUGCAGUGGAAUUGCCAGGUCACAGCGUAAACCUAUGGUUGAGCACCAGGUGAGAAGGCUUGGAUAACCCAGGGAGCUCAGGUGCAAGCAAUGCACCUGAAUGGCCUGAAGGGAUGGAGCCUGGAUCUGCCCCUCCGCAGCCUCAUUUAAGGGUUAGCAGCUGAGUGAGCAGCAUCUCUCUGGAUAGAGAUUGCACUCUCCUCAAGUGUUGCUUGUUGUCAGAAGGGGGAUCUCGAAUGUCAUGGUUACCCAGUGACAGAAAGCACAACACAGUGACAGAGAAAUAAAAAGUAUUUGGUGCCCCCAACCGGCCUCAGUUGAAGUGAAACCAUUGUAAGAACACUACUUUCUCAUUCAUCAACAUUCAAUGUCUGAAUUCCUUCAAAGAUGUCUCUCAUGAAAAAAAAAAAUAGUAAUACAAAUACACUUCGGUGGUGGGCUCUUCUUGUAUCUCUUUAUCACACUGUGCUGACUUGAAGUCCAAGUCUCAGAUCAGUGUGUAACUCCUGCCUAUGAGUAUCAACUUCCACAUUUGGAUAUCUGUACUUUAAAUACAGUGUGUGCAGUAGCAGUCACCUGUCAGAAGCCAGCAAUGGAUUAUAAGGAGGCACCCAUAAAAAAGAAUCUUGGAUACUAAUUCUUUUCAAUAGAGAUCUGGAGUUCUGAUUAGCUCUUUAAGUCAGAUGUGACCACCUGCAUUUCACUUUUCCUGUUGACCUUUCUGGAAUGCUUGAGACAAUCAAACAUGUUUGUCUUGGUAAUUGUUACCUGCCUUGGAUCAACUGUCUCUGCUGUCAUUUGUUUUUUUUCUGAUGAUUUUCAUCUGUCAUUGAAAAGUCCUUCUCACAUAGGUCAACCUUGUACAGAGGUCCUCAGUAUUUUCUUGAAUGCACUCAGUCAUCUCUGUGUUGAUGACACGCAGUUCUGCUCCAGGCCCAUCUUCUCCUGUACGAAUAAAUGUCUAGGCUCCCUUCACAGUCAUCUCACCCAGUAUUCUCUAACUGAAAGUUGAGUUGAAUGUCUUUUUUUUUCUGUUUCUGACUUACUCAAAGGUUGUCCAAUACCUUCUUUCUUUACAUAUGGAAAACUUUAUAAACUAGUGUUUGCUAGCAGCCUCUAUGGUGUCUCUGACUCCAUAGCAACUCAUUGCCAGACCAUGACAAAUAUUGCAGAUCACCUCCCUGUGACCUCCAAGACACCUCUGUCUCCCUCUCACCCUCAGAGGUAAAUCCCUUAUUUGCAUCCUCGCUGUUUUGCAUUAUGAUUACUGUAAAAUCAUUUUCUCCUGCCUUGACAGAUACAGUUCUGCACUUGUGAUAUCCAUGUAAAAUGAAGGAUGAUACAACUGUUUAUCCAGCUACUCUUUUUGACAGUCCCACCCCUAUGUCUGUGAAUCAGUCCACUGGCUUCUGCUUCUCUCUUGCAUUAAACAUAAAUGCUUCUCUUCACUUUUACAGCUGCUCCUUAAAGACCUUUAAGGUAGUUCUUUCAACAUGUCUAAUAUGCAAUAGUUUAGUCCCUCGAUUGAUAUACACUAAGAGAAAUUUUAUGAGAAAUGUACCAUGUUCUUAGCAGCUCAGAGUUUUCACUUAAGAAUCAUGAGUUUCUUUACAUUAAAGCUUCUCUGACAGAAGAAUAGGUAUAAAACACUGAAGGAAACAACCCUUAAUUUCAGCAACAGAAAAAAAUAAUAUGGACAAAACAUGGUUUGGUAAAAAAAAAAAAACAGUGUUGUAAUAGCAGAAUCAUGGAAACGUUAGCUGAAAGAAGCUAUUGGAGGUCUAAUAACGACCCAAAGCACAAGUAUCCCUGAAACUGGAACAUAACAGCCAUAAAUUUGUCUAGCCAAGUCUUGAAAAUUCCUAGGGCUGAGGUUCCACCAUCAUGGGCAACAUCUUCUGGGCUUGACUACUGUCCUGGGAGGGUGUCCAGCCAGAAACUGACAAGCCACAAUUAGAGAUCAUUGCUCUUCCCUUAUUGUAUCAUCUGGUACUGCCAGGAACAGUUUGGCUUCACCAUCUUUGUAAGUUCAAGUAGCUGCUGGCUGUGAUUAGUACGCACUUUCGCAUUCUUUCUGCCAGACUGAGCAAGCACAGAUUCCUCAGCUCCUUUCUGCUGGAUCACUUGUUGUAGGCCCUGGCCUAUCUGCUCUUCUUAGGAUGAUAGAAUCACAAGGUUGGAAAUGACCUGCAAGAUCAUCUAGUCCAACCGCCUUCCCAUUCCCAUUGGUACCACAGGCUACUAAACCGUAUCUUGUAGCUCCUCAUCCAGAUGCCUCUUGAACACUUCCAGGGACGGCAACUCCACCACCUCCCUGGGCAGGCCAUUCCAGUGUCUGACCACUCUCUGAGAGAAAAAGUCUCUCCUAAUGUCUUCAUCUGUCUGGAACUGUCCCAAAACUCAGCAGUGCCUAGCAAAUAAGAGGAUAACAAGUUCCCCCUGUGAUAUCUGUGUUUCUGGGUGUGUAGUAUGUUCACAGUGGCAGUAUGUUUGGCUCAUAUACACUGUGGUGUUCACUGUGUCCUGCAGAACCUUUUCAGCAGAGCUCAGUCACAGAUACAUUAUGUUAUUGCUUCAAGGCAGCAUUUUGCAAACUGUUUCAUCAGCAUCAACUUCUCUCUUAAUCUAUUAUGGCCUAUUAAUGUGUUUGGGCUUUUUGUUUGUUUAUUUUUGUUAGUUUAUUUUUGUUACUUUAACUCUCUUUAAGUUUCUUUAAGAAGUGAAGUAAUGAAGUAAGAUAGCGUUCUUUAGUAUGUUGAUUCAUUUUAAGGUAAUCUCUCUGAUUUUUUUUGCUGUUUCCAAGAAAAAGUUUUUGUUAUAAAGCAAAUGAAAAGACUGCUCCUCUAGCUCUGCCUCCUUUUCCUAGCUUAGAAAUUCAGCCAAUCUAAUGACUUCUUCUGAAGGAUUUUGAACUGAUUAAAUCUUUUCAUGCAGGUAGAGCUAGAUUGAAAUAGCUCCUUGGUACAUUUCAAUGAUGCUUUACAUUUGAAAAUCCAUGUAAGAUGAAAAGAAAGCUUUACUGAAGGAAAGGAUUAAGUAAGCAGUAAGAUGGACCAAAUUAUUAUUUUUUUUGUUAUAACAACUAGCUGCUCAUCUUGCAUGGCUAUUUUCUUCAAGCACCUAUUUAUGAUGGUUCCAAUACCAAAAAGGGAAGAGCUUUUUCAACGAGAACAUGUAUAUACCACCUAUUUACAGAUUAAUUUAAACAACAUACUUUAGAAGCCUUUAAACCUAAUCCUCUCACUACCUGGUUGUAGAGAGUUGUGGGUUUUUUUGGUUUUUUUUGUUGGUUUUUUUUUUGGAAGCACAAGCUUCUUGUUUUGGGAAAGAUGUACUUAUGGAACAUUUUUCUUCCACUGAGAAGGCAGAUAGCAGUUUGCUUCUCUAAAGUAAUGUCAUUAUUGCCUGACUCAGGGCAGCCCAAGCAUUAUGUGACCGUACUCAUUGCUUUUCAGAAAAUGCACAAUUAAUCUAAAGUAUAAAAGGAUUAAAAAUAAAUACUUGCAUUUUACAACUCAUGUAUUUCAUUGCAUCAGUCUUUUUUGUACCUAUGGACUUAUUGUGGAGAGCUUGUUAUUCUUUCAUGCUUGCUAAUUUAAUUAUUAAAUCUAGUUUGUAUUUUUGCCACUAAUUUUUAACUCUUUGUAUCUAUUCAAAACAUUUUGGGGAAGUAUUCACAUUGAUCUCUUUUGAAUCAAUGUGUGGCUGAUCAAAUGGGAGAGGCGUGAUGUCGCUUAUCUAAUUUAACAAUGGCAGCAAGCAAACCUUUUUGCCACACGUAUUUUGCUCCCAUAUAAAAAUGCUGCUCCGCCAGUCACUGUCAUCCAGUGUUGGAAAGUUUGUAGUGAACACCAAAGGAAGCAAACUUGACUGAAGUUAAUACUCCUGAGGAUCUCAGAGUAACUUUGCACUAUAUACCAUUUUAUUUUUGUUCUUUGAAUGUAAGCCACCUCUAGGGAUGAGAUCUAGUGCCAAAUUACUAUUUUGGCUUUAAGAUGAUUUCCAAUUAUGUGGGCUGGAAUGUCUCCCUAAAAGUCUCCAAACAUAGCAUAUGUAAGCACUAUUUUAUAUUUCAUGGAAUUUGAAAUAGCUUGGAUAUUAAAAUGGAGUUCAUAAUGGGAUUUAUGAUCAAUGUUGAGUUACAGCACUGAAAAUUGUUUCUAUGGAUCUGAAAAGUUCUGCUUGCUGUGGGUAUUAUUCUCUUGUCAUUUCCACAUAUACUUUGUGAGAUGAAGAGCUAGAAAAAUGUCAUACCACACAUCAGUUUUCUGGUUUGGUUUUGUGUGUCCUGUAUUCUACAGUAAUUCAUCAUGUUGUGUUUAUUUCUUAAAAAGAAAAAAAAAUAAUUUAAAAAUUGCUAAUUUUCCUGGUCUUCUUUUAAUAGCAGUUUCCUAUUUUUGAGGCAGGGUUGUAUUCCUUUCUUGGUAGGCCCAAAAGUCUCUCUAGAGUCUCUCAUGUGUACUGAAAUUACUUCUCCAAACUUUAGCCGAGUAUUAGGUUUAAAAUACAUUGUCUCUGUUUUGAUUUGUGCUUUGCAAAGCAAACUAAGGAAAUUAGUAACAUGGCAGAACAGUUCCAAAAUGCUUACUAAUUACUUAUUCAUUUUAAAACCUUGGAUUAAAUUUGAUAUUUUUAAUAUAUUGCCAAGUAUAUAUUGCCAAGGAGAAAAAAAAAAUCUGAUAUUUAACUUUUAAUGUUUGUGUUGACUGGAAGUUCUUCUUUUCAAAUACACAAUUUCAAUUAUAGAAGUCACUACAUAUUUAAGACACUGUAAAACAUUUUAUUCUGCAUCAUGAAAAAUCCUUCACAGCAUAGUUAAGAGAUCUGUCUGUUUGGCAGAUGUAAUUUUUUCAGGGUAGGAAUACCAUCGAAUAAAUGUAAGGAGCAAUGCAGGCUUACUCACAGAGGAGCUGUCUUUAAACUUGUCCAGGCAAGGAAGUGCCAGUGCACAGAGAGGGGCCUGAAAAAUGUUUCUGGUAAAAUCUCAGUUUGGUGCUUUACAUAAUUUGCUUGUUUGCAGUGUUUCUGCUUCCAAGCAGAGCUGCUAUUGGAUUUUGGCAUGUUUCCUAAGUUAAUCUCAGUUUGCAAUGUCCCAGUGAGGUGUCCUAUGUGUUGUCAUUGAUUUACCCAUGCAAUGAUGCUUUGAAGUGUACCAGCUGGUGAUUUGUCUUGUGACUUUUACCAGUGGGUAGAAAGAAAACUACAGAGUUAAUAAAAGCUAAAUUUGGAUAUUGUUGCCUUGCUGAACCAAACACUGCAUAAAUGUGAUGUUUGCAGUUUUCAUUUAAAAAUAAAAAAAGUUUCGUUUUCUUUGGAGGAGUCUGUUGGUUGUUUCCUGUUUGUGGCUACUGAGGCCUAACUAGACCAGUUACAGUUGGUGAGAGGAUGUAAAUGCACUUAAUCAUACAGAACCCACAUAUUUCUGCAGUGCUGCAGUUGCAGCUAAUGAGUAAAAAAUGGAAAAUACUAGAAAAUAAGGCUCAAGUGUGAUCUUUCUCUUUGAGUAGUAUAAGUAUUCAUGCAUCUUUAGUGUCACUUCUUUCUCUGAAACAGAAGUUUGGAGUGUGUAAACCACUUAUUGCCUCCCAGUCUGACAAAGUCCUGCUUUAAUGGAUUGGCUUGGCUGUUCAUCAUGUAAUAUGUAGAAAAGGGUAUUUGGCCAUCUGCUGAUGCAUAUGAACUACCAGGCUUGUUGGUUUGCAUCAGAGCAAAUUCCCCCAAACCAUCUUUUGCCUGCUUGCGUGUUACACCCUGCAAAAAAUGAGUUGGCUCUUUCAAUUUGAAUGUCAGCAGGCAGGUGCUUCUUCCAAAAAUGCUAUGUAUUGAAGUAGGAAGUUAAGGCCAAAAGAAGUUCUUAAAUUCUUGUCAGCAGAGCAUCCUUCUAGGUCAGGAUGGUUUCAGACAGCCUGACAAUGUGCCUGUGUGUAGUAUGAGUACCAUGUGUAAGUAGGGGACUUACUUUUUCAGACUCAAUAAUGUCCACUAAGUUCAUAUUGACAUGAUAUUCUGAUAUGUUUUUUUGUUUUGUUUUUAUUUUUCUUCAUACAAAACUAAUACUGUGUCAACAGCCAACAAGCGCAAUCUUUAAGAUUUUUCAUAUUUGUAUGUAUCUUAAAAUCAGCAUAAAAUAUAAACUUAUGUUGUUCUCAAGCUCUUCCCUACAUUUCCUCUGCCUCUUCUUUUGUUCCAUCCAAGUCUCACAACCUUUUAAGAGAGGGCAAGCACCUGAGCGAAGCAGGUAUAGAGGAAAAGCCUGUGUAAUUUCUUUUGUGGAUUUUUAUUUAGAGUGGCUCAUUUGGUACAAUACAAAUGUUUGUGUUGCCAGUGAGAAAUUACCAGGUAGUUACCGUAAGAGCUUGAUUUAUUUCAGAAACUGAGAAUGAUAAUGAUAACUCUCAAAGAAGCUCAUGAAAGUGCUGUCAUCAUAGAUUCUUCCUUUUGGAGUCUGCACAGUUUAAAAUAAACUCUUCUGUCCUUGGACUAAAAAGGUGAGUAAAAGGUAUUCUGUGAAGGAAGUGGAGGUGACUACAUCAUUGUAGUAAAUAGGUAUCAUCCUCAUUCUGAUGUAAGGAAAAAAUCUUUUACAGUGAGGGUGGUAACGCACUGGAACAGGUUACCUAGUGUUGUGGUUGAUGCCCGGUCCCUGGAGACUUUCAAGGAGAAGCUGGAUCAGGCCCUGGGCAACGUGAUGUAGCUGUGGUGUCUCUCUUCACUGCAGGGGAGUUGGAUUAGAUGGCCUUCAGAGGUCCCUUCCAACUCUCAGGAUUCUAUGAUUCUAUGAUUAUUCCUUUUAGAAGCUCAAGGCUUGGGUCCUUAUGAAGAAAUACCGUCUUUCCCACACAAAGAAAUAGCAGAAUGACUCAGAUCUCAAAUGAAAAAAAAAAAAAAACAAAAAAAAACCCGUGCUAUGUUACUUUUGAAUGUGUCAUUUCUUUUGUGCCAGCUCUCAGGAAACCUUGCCUCAGAAGAGAAAAUCAAAUGAGCCAUGUUGAUUGGGUAUUUAAAAUGUUAAUCCAUCCCAUGCCUAAUGACCAUUCUGGGAGAGAAGAUUGUGAAAAUGUUUUAGAAACUUCUGUUUCUAUGUUUUAGAUACUCCCAAACAAGCAUAUUUAAUGCAGCUACCAAGCUCAUAAAUUUCUCGACUGAAAAAUGUCGUAAGUUAUGGGAAAUGGCAUGUAGAAUGCAAUAACAUUUUAACAUUUGUGUAGUUACCCCUUUUUGCUUGUAGAACUUGCUAUCUUGUGUAACAGCAUAAAAGAUAGAUAUCAGGAAGAGACCAGCUCUGGCAAAUUUGAAGCCAGUUCUAAUUCUGUCCAUCUGUAAUCACUUCUUUCCUUAGCUGGAUGUGCAGUUACCCAACGUGAGCCCUGGUGUCUCACUGAGAGUUCUGAGAAAUAGUAAUGACUAGUUCAUACCCUAACUUACUGCUCCUAUCUGUUGCUGCUAGAGUGAUAUCUGCAAGUAACAUGAGGAUUUAAGAUGUAAACUCAAGUGUUUUCUCCUCAUUUAGAUGGAGAUCUAAAAGAACGGUGACACCUGCUAGUUUAAAUAAUUUCCUAUCUUUAAGACAUCUGUGUACUUUGCUGAGGAUGUAUCAAAUGCAGUUAUUAUUCUCUUUAUUUUUUAAUACAUAAGCAUAAAGUUUUGAAGUUUGAGUCUCAUUUCUACAUAUUCUUAUUUUUCAUGCCACUUACCACUACUUAUUUUCACUGUGUCCUGAUCUUCUUUAUCCAAAAUAUCCAAUGUGCUAACUGAAAUUUCAUUAAUGUUUAAACUUGCUUAGCCUACCUUUGAAGUGGAUGAAGCAAGCUUGAACGUUAUUAUUGGAACUACUCCAUCAUUACAUUAUAGGUACUCUAGGGAAUCUCAUUUCGCUAGGCUAGACUAGGUGAUUUCCAGAGAUGCCUUCCAAUCCUUGUGAUUUUGGAAUUCUGUGAUUCUGUAUCUUACUGCUUUUAUUUGUUGCCCUUCAUGUUUUCUAUGUUCUGUACAAUUUUUGUUAUGACUGAUUUUCUUAAUAUUUUAACUUGCUUCUAUUCACAGCAUCUUUAGAAGUUACUACAUAGGUAUAAACAUGACUUCCUUCAGUUAUGUAUCUUUUAGAUGUAUCUGUUCUGUUAAUCUUUGGGUGAAGUUGUAAAAUUGCGGGGGUUGACCUGUUGACCUUCCAUGUUCCAGUACAUCUUGCAUCCAGACUUCUUACACAGUCUAAUAUAACUCUUACAGAGCAGCUACAUUCCUCAAACUGGAAGGGACAAAAUGUUCCAGGUCACAUUAACCUGUUGACUUGUCUCCAAUAACCUGUGUUCUAGUGUGCAGAGAGGCACUUGGAGAAAAGAGCUGAAAAGUUGUAACAGAAGUCACGUAAGACUCAGACAGUAAUGGCACCUAUAAACUUGUCAGCUUGAUGGUUCAUCACUGACAAGAGAAAGACCAACAGUCAUGUCCAAAUUCAAAGAUUCUGAAACAGACAUAGUAGAAACAUAGUCAACUGCAAAGGGCAUCCAGAUCAGGAAAGAUACAUCUCCUUGGAUACAAAAACAAAACGAAGCCUGAGAUCCUGGGGUCAAACAGAAUCAUUAAUUUUCUAAUUACACCAUAAAAUGUCACAGCCCUUUCAAUUUUCUCUUUUCAAUUCAUAUUGAGCUUAAUUCACAGUAUUCCACAUCUAUUAUACCAUAGUUACUAACAUACUUCUAGCUUUAUUGAUAAAUAACCACUGCUGCUUCUUCAUGUUAUGGUUUCAGACUUUGGUCUCAUAAAACCAUAGCAUAUUUUAUUAGAAGAAAAGAUGUUUAGAUAUUUUUAAAUUUUGUCUUUGAACUUAUUAGGAAAAUACGUCCUCUAUUACCUCCUUUCCUAUACAAAUCUGAAGAUUUUAAAACAUUCAGUCUUUAUUCACAGAGCCCUUUUUUUUCUUCUUUUAGGUUAUUGAAGAUUUCUAAGAACUAUUAAUUUGCAGUCAUGCAGAUGUGUUGGUAUGAGCAUGUUAUUUAUCUGACACUUUUUUUUUAUUAGAUAUUAAAAUAUUCCUUCACUAUUAAAGUAAACUCAACUUACUUAUGAAAUCUCUCACAAUAUGUGCUGUUGGAUUUAAGAGACUUGGGAAAAGUUAGCACACUGCAUCAGAAAUCGAAUUGAGCGUCUACCAAAAUAGAAUAGCAAAGUCAUAAAGGAAAUGAGAAAAACUCAUUGGUUUUUUGGUGCUCCCAAGAGCAAGAAAUCUGUUUCUAUAUAGGGGAACAGGUUGAUAGAUCUGAAGUUUUCCACAUGAAUGCCUUUAUUUAUUUUACAAGGAAACCAAAAUUAAAGAAUUUAUAUCAGUAUUUCAUACGCUUAUAGGGAUGUUGGACAAUUUCUGCAAAGAUUUCCUUUACCUCCUAAAUGAUUUCUAGAUAUUGCUGUGGGAGGGGAAAAGAGGACUAAAUAAUACAGUGACAUCAACUCCAGUGGUAUUUUUAAGGCUAUAAAGUUUGUUUCUACUUCUCUGUCUUUUUUUAUACAUGGAGACUGAAAGCUGUCAUAUUCGUUCUAGCAGACUGUAUUUUUUGUCCUAUGUUAGGAAAUAUCUAAUGUGAACUGAUGUUAGGUACCAUACUGCUCAGCAGAAAUGUCUGAGAUAGAAAUGCACAAAAAUGAGUAACUUAAAAUGUCUCCGUUCUUUGCAUAAUCAAAUCAGACAAUCAGAUGCCCAGGAAAUGUUCCUUCCUGAGAAUGAGAAGACAAGACGUGUGAAUGAGAUCUUUGUCCAUGACUUCAUUUUAAGGGGCUUUUUUGUUAGAUAGAGGCUUGUGAAACAGCUCAUUGCACUUAAUUUAUGGACCCAGAGGAAAAUUUAACUCUGUUUAGUUUGUAGUAAUUGCCUUGAUAAAUUAUAAUUCAGUAGUUUAAUGGGAAUGCAGUCCUCAUUAUUGUAUGAGGGUCAUAUUAAGCUGUUACUGAUGCCAAAGUUGUUGUACUUUGUUUCCUAUAUUCUGAUUUCUUCAGGAAGAAUUUGUCAGAUUAAAGAAAAGGUUAAAUUGCGGUUUCUCCAUUUGCCUUACAUUUCCACUUCUGUGUUCUGUUUUGUUUUUUACAUCUAUUGAUGGACACAUUGUACAUCUUUUACUGCUGUGAUAGGUCACCGUAUUGGAUUUGAACAUUUAAACUUCUGAACAAAUUUUUUGUACACGGAAAACUACAAGACUACUUAAAGUCCCAAAGGAAUACUCACAGUCUGACAAGCAAAGGUUGAAGAGAACAGGAAGUGGAGCAUCUAAUUAAAUAGCAGUCAUGUUAUUUUGCUGCUCAAGCAAAUUAAAGAUGAGAUAUAUAGUGUAACUGUUGGGGUUUCUGUCAGAAAUCACUUUGUGCCAUUAAUGAAAACUGAUUUUUCCUAAUAAUAUCUAUAUAUGUAUAUUAUAUGUAUGUAUAAUACAUAUGUAUACGUAUGACUCCCCUUCUAGCAAGAAUUCAUAGAGUCAUGCAAUUGGUGAUGUGCCUUACGUUAUUUGUACAACUCCAGCUUUUAAAUACAGUUUUGCUAUUCUUAAAGCUGUAUAUCUAUUUCAGGCAUUGUUCUAACGUUUAUGACAUAACAAAUUACAUGUUGUAUUAAGGCAUCCUUAGUCUGUUUAUUGUUUGUGUGUAUAUGUAAAAAUGGAGCCACUAACAUCCUGGAAAACGCAUUUGAAAAUGGGUGCUUUAAAAACCUUCUGUAACUGUUAAUUAAAAGCUCUGAAACAUUUGAACACAUUUUGAAGCAAGGUGCAAAAUGCUAAGAGGAGGAAAUGAAAGAACAAUGUCUUUUGCAGGGUUUGUGAAGAUCCUGGCUCCAAUUUCAAUUUAUGUGAAUUAUGAACAUCAGUGGCAACAGCUGUUUGAGUGCUAUGUGGCAGCAUGUUCACGUUUUCAGAGUUGCAUUUUUGCAGUUUUAUUUUCAAGUUAAUGUGUAUUCUAUCUGUAGUAAGUGUGAUAAGGAUUACUGCACUCCUGAUCUCUGAGGUUGGAAUGAAUACACCAUUUUAUAUCCAGAGAACGUGUGAGGAAAUCUCAAGAAGCAGAACAAUUUCUUUUCAUUUUGUAGGAAUUUUUUUUUUCCAUUAGGAUUUUAAACUAGUAAGUAAAAUGUAUGAGUUCUAUUAUAUUCUAGGUUUGUGUACAUAUUCAUUAUUCUUUGUAUAAGCACGUAUAAGGAGGUGGAACUAAAGCAGAUUGCCUUGUAUUGUAGCUGCUGUGUUUCACCAGCUGCACACUCAUUUAGAUGGUAUUUACUCUAGUAAUGAUUAUUUUAAUGAAAUCACAGUCUAAAUUGGUCGUAUCAGGGAGUAAUCCAGAGAUAGUCAAAAGAUGUAGUACCAAUUUAGCAAACUGAGAGGGAAAUGCUGAGAAGUUGGCAUCCGUGGUUCUCUUAACAGGCUGUUAUAAGUGCUGCACAAAUAUUCAGACUGAAGUGGAAACAGUACAUGAUCUUCCUCAUCUGGUACGCUAUUCAGAGACAAGUCUGGUACUCUAUUCAGCAGAAGAAUGCUGAUCCUUAAUACAUCUGAUAUGUGGCAUAAAUUGCAGUUUGAGGGUGCCAGCAUGAAACCAGCUUGAAAAUUAGCUAGCAAGUGUCAGGCAACCAUUUCAAACCACUACAAAUGAGCAAAACAUAGAUAUAUUGUUCUACUUUUAGUUGAAAAGUUUUCAGUAAUGUAGUUGUUUUGCAACGUCUCUUCUAAAAUGAAUUGCAAAUGAAUGAUUCUGAGGCUUUUCAGGAGUUCAGUCAACAUUCACAUUUCUGAGCAAGUUUGAGUCCUAGUUUUCUUGUGCUACUUGUGUUGGACAACAGACUGGUAAUGAUAACUUUCUAUUGAAUUUAGAACAAAAAUGGGUAGAGUUAGCAAGUAAAAAUUACCAUUGUGAUAAAUACACAUUGAUAUUCACCUUAUGUUUCCUGCCACAUGAGUGAAUUGUGUUCUUAGAAGAACUGCACUUGAGUUCUUAGAACCUGGGGAAGAGAUAGUAGAAUAGGCAUUAACUUUUACUGUCAGUGUAAAUGAUUGAAGAAUUCUGAUCAGUUUGCAUCCACUUUUUCUGUGUACAUACACUGCUUUAUGUACCUUUUGUAUUUCUUUACCAAGCAAUUUAUGGAGGAAAGGGCCUGGUCUCGUAUCCCUAUGUGAGUACUACCUCAACAGUUCCCUAUUUCUCCUAGACUUAGAAUCAGGUAGUGCAAAGAAGACAGAGCUCAAAGCAUGAAUGUAAUAGCAUCUAGGACACUUGAGUGGGAAAAAAGAAAAAGAAAAAAAAAAAGGAAAGAAGUGAUAUUAGAUUUCUUACAGAGGCAAAAACAGUUUCUAGUGCUUUCCUUGAACUUUAUUUCUUCUAAGAAUUCUGCAAAGGACGGUCAGAAACAUGGGCUGCAGCUGGUCUGUGUGGAGUCCUUAAAUAUAAAUAUAGAUGAAGACUUAGCUCUCCAGGGUGAUUAAGCAUUCUACAGUACUUGUUGCAAAUGCAGGCCCUGCUACUGUCAAUAUUUUAUAGAAGUGUUUUAUUUUUAUCAGUGUGUCUCGCUCCAAUUUAUAGGAGGGAGAGGAGGUUCUUUGAAAUAUGUUUGCCCGGUGUGAGAUUAAGAAACAACGGUUCAAAUGUUGGUCCGACCAGUUUAUUACAAAUGUUAAUAAGGGAGAUGAAGAAAGGGGAGGAUGGGCACUAUUACGGAUUGGGGUGAUGGGAAAGGGAAGGCGAGCGAUAGAAAAGAUAGAAAGAAGCAAGAAUUGCGUAAAGCGGGGAUAGUCACCACCAGGAUCCGGCAGCAGUCCCGUUGCACGAUGUUCCGAUGGUCCGAGGCUGAAGGGCAGGAGCAGCGAGGCCGGUCUUGGGCAACGAGAGGGUGCAGGUACCGGGUGGGUCCAGGAAGAAGCCGCAGAGUAAGCCUGGGAGGAAGCAGCAGGUCUCAGGUAGCAGCCCAGGGAAGUCCGUCGGCAUACGGUCCGUAGUGAGGGAUCUGAUGGCAGAAACCUCGAGUCCAUCAUGGUGAGGGAUCUGAUAGCAGAAACCCUCUAGCCUCAUGGUUGUUGGGCCCUCUUUUAUCCUCCUUUUUUUUCCUGCCUACGUGACAUCCCUGGGUGCUUGAGCAAGAGUCAUGUGCGUACUUCCUGAGAUGGCCAUCUUCCUUGAGAUAAGUCCACACAAAAGACCGUUUCCCAGCCAUUAUCAGCAGCUUAUCCCUCUCUUGUUGCCCCUGACCUUGUCCAUCUGUGUUCCUUAAAGGAUUUCACAACCCUUUAGCCAGGACCUGUCCAUCAGUGUCCUCCAGACAGAAGAUUUCUCUACCUUUGCCCAGGACUUGCCUGGACUUGUUCCUCAGCAAACUUUGAGUUAAUGAUAUAAAAGAAAAAUCUCUUACACAGUGCAAUACAAACAUUUUAAUGUGCCUAAUGUUUUCAGUCUCAACUAACUGAUCACCGAGUGCUUGGCUGUUCAUAGGAAACACCGAACUUCUUCAACCAUACAUUUUUGUGAUUAUGAACAAUGCCUUUCUUAUAUUUGAUGAUUGAUGAGUACAUUGAUGCUUAGAAAUAAUGGGCUUCUAAAUAUUUAGUAGUGGGCUUUAAGGUGCAGAAGCAGUUUGGGGUUGGGUAAAAGUAUUGCUUUGAAAAAGAAACAGCCGCUUUCUUUCCUUACUGAAAAGAGCUCUGAACGUGAUAUCCACGCUGCUAAAUUGAUAUCAUCUACAAAUCAGUGUGGGAUAUUUUAAGAGUGGUCCCUUCCCUCCACAAAAGGAUUAAGUGUGAAGUGGUUUAAAAUGGCAUUUGGAUAAAAUGGCAAUUCAGAAGGUAAAGAUAACAGUACAGCUGGGAUAGCUGUUCCCUUUCAGUUGCCAACAUUGCCGCAUCUUAGAAGGAGUGUCAAAACAAGGUUCCUCAAAUCUCCCAAGAACUGAAUCACAAAAAAAAGCACACGCUGUAGUUUUGUUUCCCAGAGUUUGAAGUGAUGUUGCAUUAUUUUCACAGUUUCAAGGGCUGGACAGUGAACAUGAUUAUCUUUACAAUUCAGACUAUAGACUUAUGGCCUUACAUUGUUACUAAGUACCAUAACUCAUGCUGAAAAUAGAACUUUCUUUUGUACGAAGUCCAUGUACUCAAUGAUAUCUUACUCUAACCUUCCCAAUGAAAGAAGCUUAAAGUCAUUUCAGUUUUUCAUUCUUCUCUCUUCAGCUUCAAGUCAUAUGAUCUUAAUGUGCCUUUCUCUCUGAAGAACUGACUUGCGUCAGAGGUUGUUCUUGUUACAGUUCUCUAAACCUGCGUUAUGAAAAGCUGUUUUGUGUUAGUGUGAACUUCCACUGAAGGCAGAUAGUGUAACAUUUUAUUUUUUUUAGUUACUAAUGUGAUUUUAAAUUUCUCUGAGAUCAGCUGUUUGAAUCGAAUGAAAAGAGUUUGAAUCGAAUGAAAAGUUGCUCUUGGCCUUCCAACAGAUAGCACAAGGAUCUAUUCAGCAGGACUGUUGUUAUUAACUCAGUUUUUUAAUCCAAUGUAUGUCAUCUGCACACACCACCUCAGAAAUGAGGUAAUGCAUUCUCUGUCUGCAUUUCCUUUUAUUAUGAAGUAUGCAUGUACAGAUGAACAACGCUGAGCCAAUGAACAGUUCCUGCAGCGUCAGGCUAUCCAUACCUUUAAUUGUUAUUAAGUCUUAUGGUUAAUUCAUUAUUAUGAUUGUGGUCAUGUACCACAAUCUAAUUAAUAGUUAGACUGCCAUUAGUUUCUAGAGCUUGGGUGCAUAUCUAAUCCUAAUGCAGCAGUAAAGCUCUUUUUGUCAAGUGAACACAUACAUUUAUUAGGAUAAUACACAACGCAUUUGUCUGGGUGUCAUUUCAGAGAAGUAAUUCUAACUGCCAUUAACUGCCUUUCCCAAUUUGAUUAAUAUAUUUACUGAAGUCUGUAACAGUUAUUCACUCAUGUUUUUGGGGGAAUCCAGGAGGCUAAGAGCUCUACAAGCCUGUAAUUUCUUCUGUCAGCUUCUCUAUUCUCUCUAGGUCACCCUGGAACUCGCUCAUUUUUUCAGGACUUAUUGAAAAUGAAUGUCAACAGCCCAAGGUACUGUUUUCCUAAUAUCUUGCUUUUGCCUCUGAAGAGGUACUAUAACCAAAGCAACUCUUUUGUGGAUAAGUUAAAUAAUUAGAAUUGUGUUUUAGCACACUCAGUCUUUCUUUAAAAUCCCACAAAUCCCAUACUUUACUUCUUUUUCAGGUGAAUUACUUUUUUCGUAUUUUUUCAGUUUUGUUUGCAGAAUUGUUAACGCUUUCUGUGUAUUUUUUUAGUUUAUUAGUUUGUUUUAGUAAUACCACUGUUUCAGUCUUCUAGAACUGUGAUGUUAUAGCAGAUGUGAAAGCAGAACAUUUGCCUGUUAAGGUUAAUGGGGUUUUUGAACUCCUGUUCAGACUAAAAGACCCAAAGACAUAGUAAUGUUUUCUGGCAUGAUUUCACAGAAUCACUGAAUUGCACAGGUUGGAAGGGACCUCAAGAGAUCAGUGCAACACCCCUGCUAAAGCAGGUACCCUACAGUAGGUCACACAGGUGGGCAUCCAGACAGGUCUUUAAUAUCUCCAUAGAAGGAGACUCCAUAACCUCUCUGAGCAGCCUGUUCCAAGGCUCUGUCACCUUACCAUAAAUAAAUUCUUUUGCACAUUUGUAUUCCAGUUUUACGCCAUUGUUCCUUGUCCUGUUGCUGUACACCAUCCAAAAGAACCUGGCCUCAUCCGUUUGCCUCCCACCUCCAGUCAGAUAUUUAUAAACAUUUAUCAGAUUGCCCCUCAGUCUUCUUUUACCCAGGCUGAACAGACCCAGGUUACUGGGUUAUUUACCUUAUCACACUCAAGGCUGAUUUUAAAAAUGCUUUGUACUGAAGAAUUCAUUCAGCUUUAACUAUUAUAUCAAGUCUGUCUCUGUGUUUAAUCGGGUUUAUCAGGUAUUUACAAAGUACUUUACAUAGUUGUACAGUAUCUAACUGUGGACUUGGAAAAUAUCAAGUCUGCUCAUACUACUUAAUUAAAGUCUAUUUAAGAAUGGAUUUUUUUGUACAACUUCAUAGGAAGGAAGAUAUUCCUGUAUAAAGCCCAAUUAACAUUUUGAUUGCAAAAAUUACUGAAAUGCUUGUAUCAUGCUCUCUUUUUCUUUGAGACUUCAAGUGAAGUAAUUACCAUUCCAUUGGGGAAAAAAAGAAAAAAAAUAGAAAAAAAAAAAGGAAAAGGAAAAAAGAAAAAAGAAAAAAAAAAGGAAGAAAGAUAGUAAACUUUUCUGAAUAUAGUCCAGACUCAUUUGUGUGCCAUUUUCAAGACCUCUGGUAAAUACCAUUCUGCACUGAAGUCUUGAGAGUCCACAGCUUAUCAUACACGUAUUCAUGUGCUCAUCUUCCUUUAGCUGCUUCUGUGGGGAAGGGAGGAGUGUCACUAAUAUUUAAUUAAGUUGAAUGUCAGUUUUGAAGUUUUACCAGAAAGUGAACCUGAAAGCAUUUUUGCAGAUUAUGUAAGUGAAUGAAUCCAUUAACCAGAUGGCAGCUCUGAAGUCAGACAAAUCAAAUAUAACCUUCAAACUCUGAUGAGUAAACAUGAAGACCCAGUGAGAACUAAUUAUUCUAGCUAUCACAGACAUUUUUUUCUUUAAUACUAUAAACCUCUAUUUAAGGCUGAACAAGUUACCUUUCAAUUCACUGUCAUCCUUGUCAAGAUAAAAAUACAUAAAACACAUGUGAAUUGAAAUAAGACACCUUUGGGGAAUGUUUUAAUUCUCCAAGAAUAGUCCAGAUUCCUAACCACAGGUAAAUUCUUGUUUAAUGUCCCUGAAAACUGGAUUAGUGUAAAGUAUUUUUAACUUUCCUUGUUGUGCUAGUUGUGCCCCCCCUUGGAAACAAUUUCUGAGAUGGUGUUGAAUCCUCAAACAGACUUCACUGAAAUACCUUUGGAGAGAGUACACACCUGAAAAGAUAAAUCAUUCCAUUUCAAUGGUUUCAAAAGGAAAUGUUUCGGCUUUUCAUUUUGAAAGAAUGUGUUCUGAAACCAGAUUGUAAAGGCUUUUAAAAAUUAAGUAACGCAAGAAUAAAAUGAAUCAUUCUGUUGUCUUUUGUUGAAAGUAGGACAAAAAAAAAAAAAAUGGUGGGGUUUUCUCAUUUCAUUAACUGGGUGGAAAAAAACCACUAUAAAAAUUUCCAUUUGGAGUCAACCAGAAUGAAUUUAUCUUUCAGUCUUGCUUUGGUUUGUCUGCCUACCAAUAAUGGACUUCUGUCCAUGCCCAUUAUUGUCAUAGUAUUACUCUUGAGUUGGUAAGUCUAAUUACCAGCUUUUACAGGUAACCACACCAUACGCUCAUUAGAAACUUCCAUGAACUUCAUCUUCAAAAUUACUUAGUUUUUCUUUACUUCCUACUUGGAAUGGCUGUAUCUCUUCUUUGGUUGGAAAUCUUAUUUUCAGCCUCAGCUUUGGCAGGUGGUUUGUGCUCUCCUAUUUUCUACAACAUCGUUGGUUAGUGGUUAAAUACAUUCCUCCUUCAUGAUUCUGUUUAGAAGAAAAAAGCUAUAUCCACUGUCAACUGUUGUUUUGCUGAUCUAAAUAAGCCAGGUUCUUUCAGUUUCAUUUUGUGUUGAAUAUACUUCUAUGGCUUCAUUGUUCAGUUGGGCCUUCUUUACUCUUGCUUCAGAUUAAUUUAUCUUUCUUGAAUAGUGGCCAAAAUGCACAUGGUGUAGAAGAUGUAGUUUCCAGACAGUCUAUACUGGAAAUACUUCAUCUAUUAUAAUCCGGGAUCACAUUUAACAUUUUUUCCACAGCAACAUGACACCAAUGAAUUUUAGCCAUUCUCAACCCACUCAUAUGCCUCUUUUUCUUCCUCCACUAUUUAAGUAGAAUACUCUCAAUUUAAAGCUCUUAAAUACUCUCAGCUGUAAAAUUCUGGACAUAUCUAGGUCUGGUUCAGUGAUUAGAUAUUUUUGAAUUGGCAUUGACAUGUUUCCUCUGUUUAGGAAAUUGCUAUAUUCAAAACUGUAAAAGAAACCUCUGGAUUUAAUUAGCUUUCACCUGUCUAAUUCCAACCACUUUUCCCGUAUUUCCUUUAUCCUAGAUUUUCUUCAUAUACUUUCUUCAGAAGUACGUUCUGAAUUCUUACAAAAUACUGAAAUAAUUUGUUCUGCUCAUGGCCCCUUUCCCCUCCCCCACCCCUCUUUCAGAGGCAGGUAAAGCAUCAUUCUUUCAACAUGACUGACAUUAUUAAAUGUCUGCAUGCAAGCAUAUGUUCAUUUCAGUGUUGCUCCCCUCAAUUUUUGUAAAGGUUACCAAAAGGUACCGUGACUUGAGUGUCAACUUUUGCAAUUGCUGCCAUGUCAGAUGUGGUAGUUUCUGAACUUAUUUAUCUCCUAUUAUUCAUGCUAUCUUUCACCUUCUGCUCUCCAGCAAAAGUUUAUUUAGAAUACAAAUCAAAUAUUGACUUGGGUUUUUUAAUUGUUCUGCACUGACCUCUUUAUCUCAACUCUUCUCAAUACUCUUCAUCAUCCCAGUUUUGUAUGAGCCUGUGUUCAGUCCAAGUAGCUCCUCAAUGGUACUGCAAAAACCAUCCUAUUAUGUAGGAUAUAAACUCUAGAAGACUUACAUCUUCAUCUUAAACAAAUUACACAUCCUUUCUCAUCCCUUUCUUUAGUUUUCCCUGUUCAGAAGAAAUACUCUCCCUCUUUCCUUACCUGUGUCUUCAACUUAUGAUAAAAAAAUGCUCUCAAGACUUCCAGAUUAUGUUUCAGUUAAAGAGGUUUAAUGUACUCCUUCCAAAGCUGUGUAAUAUAGAAUAAAAUUCUUUAGCAAACAAAAACAAAACAAAACAAAACAAAAAACCAAACAAAAAAACCCACUUUUUUGUUCUUGGUUAUAUCUUAAUGUUUUUGCGGAGUAUGUGUAGUUGAUGUCUACUGUGAAUUUUUGAUGAUAAGACUGAAUAACAUUGAGGAUAGAUUUUUGAGUUAAUUUUUCCAGGAGUUAAUGCCAACAGUGAGCCAUGCUCCAGAUGUUUAUAGCUGCUCUGACAGGAAUGGGGAAGAAUGGGAAGGCAGAUUUUUGGUUCUAUGUCUGAACCAUCAACAAUUGCUUUGGAAGCUCUUCUUGGGAGCACAGCAAAGACCUACGUCCAGAUCUCAGUAUUAGAACUCGUUCUGGUGAGAGAGGUGUGGUGGUGUCUCAAAGAAGUGUCCCUGUUAAGUGCAAUGUCCCCCUAAGUGUUAAAAUUGUGGGCAUACAACCUCUUCCAUGGAAGAGGCUAAAUAGUUCCUUUAUCUGUAUGUUUACAUCUGUUGUUUCUGUGCAUUCUGUGGCCAUAACAAAAUCACUUCAGGUUCAGUAAUUGGUUUCCAAUGCAGUUGGAUUAGUGCUGGGCAGAAAAAGGAUAAAAAUAGAUAUUUUUCAAUUACGUGAGUAUAAGACACCAGCUGGGCUCCUCCCUUCUCUUUAAAAUCUGUUUCAUUUUGGUUACUCUAACUGAACAACUUCAUGAGGAUAGGGAACACCUCUGCAGCAAGUAGUGUUCCUAGCCCACCAUGGAGAAUGCAUUCCCUAAGCUGGGGACCAGAAGAGGUGUAGUCACUGCUGACACAUCUUGAGCUACAGAGAAGUGGUCAAAGCCUUUAAGAGAAAACAUGAGCAUAGGCAAAAGGAAUUUUUUCUGUUUUUAGUCUCCAAUUUUCUUUUUGCUCAUGUUGUCUCCCCUUUCCUGACUGCAGAGGUAACACUUAACGAUUUUUAUUUUGCUGAGCAUGUUUCUCUUGGAAGGGCUCUUCCCUUCCGCAGAAAGGUGUUUCUGCUCAUCUUUACACAAAGGAUCAAGAAGGUAGCUGUAUGGUUACAUAGAAAGCCUUUUUGGUGCCUUUGUUCUGCUUGCCCUGUCCUCCAUGUUACAGAGAUUGUCAAGUAUACCUCUGAGCUGGGUCUCACUCUUGGUGCCUGGAGCAUCAUAUAGCAGGUUCAACUGAGACCUUCAGGUGCCAUUGGUACCUUGUUUUCAUCUAGGACAGCCCUCUCUUCAACUUUUUCUCUGACCCUUCUGAUGGAAGCAAAGCAUCCUCUGCAUUGCGCAUACCUCUGAACAGUUACUAAUUGAACAGCUCUCUGAAUGGCAAGGAGGCCCAAGAUAAAUUAAUGACAUUGUGACUUAAAUAAACAGUAGUGCAUCCUGCACCAUCCUGUUUCUAUUCACAUCUUUUACAGGAAAAAUUGCCGUUUCUAUCAGAAUGGGAUAUGUACUUUUUUGUUGUUUUUUUGCUUCUUUGUUUUCAUAUCAUAUCAGAUACAUAGCACCAGAAGGAGAGGGUUUUCAUGAACGAGUAAUAAAUUACUUGUUUAUAAAAUUACUUAAGAUAUGAAUUUAGUCUAAAGCAUCUCUGAAGGCUAGUUUAAAACUAAAGGGUAGCAGUGUAAGUACUGUCCUUGCUUUGCUAGUUUCCUGACCGAUGGUUACUUUAGACAUACUGACCUUUGUUGCUAAAAGGUGGUUGAAUGACUAUGUGUAUUUUAUCUGGAUUUAUAAUUUGGUGACAAUAGGGGAUCCAAAAGUUGGAUGACCCAUUAUAGGGAACUUAAUUCCAGGAAUAAUUUAAUGGAAGUCAGUACAACUGUUCAUUGGAACAUCCACUGCUUGAUAACAUGGGUUUAUCAUCUGGAUGAAAACUAGAAGAAAUAUCCCCCAAAUUUGCUUCAGCUAAACACUAAUAAAUAAUUAUUUUCUAUUGUGCAUUCAAAUAAAAUAGGAAUUGUAUAAUUUAGCAUGCGUAUUUGCUUUUUCUAUGGUGGCACUGAGAAUUAGGCUGUCAAUACUAGCAUGACUGCAAAUGUACACACACUUUACUGUAGUGUUGUAGUACUGUAUUGACAUAAAUGAAGGUUUUGUUGCUUUUGCCAUUACACUUACUCCUGAAAACCCUGCUUGCUUUUUGAGGCUGUGAAUGCAGCCAGGUUCUCUAAAAUUUGUACUAUUUUGUAACAGUGCAAAACAAACUUAAUAUGUAACCACAUGGAAGAUGUCAUGGCCUUGAAGGGAUAAGGUAUUAUAAGCACUGUUACCACAGACAGUUGAAAGAAACAGUGUGGGAGUCACAAUUAUGGGUUCAAGAACCUGUUUUUCUCUUCUUCUCCCACACAUGCUCAUCUCUUGCCAUAUUCUCUUCCAACAGUUUGCAGAUUUCAAGUGUUUCCCAGAAUGUCCUUCUGUUAAGGAGAUUAAUGCAAAUAUUAACAACCCAGAAUCUGUCAUCUGCAUUUGUUGAAGGCUUAUUCACAAAGCAGUAUAGCAAUAAUAUUUUCAGUGCAGAGAAGAGAUCAAGUUAAGUAUAAAUCUGAGUGCUCACCAACAUGUAGGCCUUAGGGCCAUGAAGGAGAGCCUACUUAAAAGACUGAGGUCUUUUUCCUGAGAACCUGGAGUACCCUUUUGAAUCAAAGUGCCUUCAUUUCAGUAUGUUUAUAUUUAGAUUUUUUUCAUUGAUGAGAAUGGAAUAAGUACUGGACAGACUGUUGUUACAACUGAGCACAAAAUUUACCUCUUUAUAGGUCCCCUGUUCCGUUAAUGUGUUCCUGCCUUCUUCAGGAAAAGGUGAAAUGAGAAUGUUACAGGCUUUCAAGAGGAUAGGAACAUUCAGUAUUUCUUCUCUGGACUUGAACUAUGUGGGUAUUGAGUAUUAAAAAAAAAAGGCAACUUAAGAAUUUAUUAAAUGAACAAAUAAUGUAAUUUUUCCUAUGCUACAUGGUUUCAGAAUGCAUGGCUAAACUCUUAACUAUUUGUAAUUGAAACAAGAAUACCUUCUUGUGGCCCUGUCAAAACAUAAACAACUUACUUUCUUGUGGAAGAUGUGUGUCAUCAUCAAUCAUACUCAGUAAAAGUCGUCACAAUUGAUAAAUAAAAGGUAGUUUUCCUGCACUCACAGUCUAAGGCAACUAACUUCUCUUUCAUGCAGUAACUUUAAAAACAAGAGGCAGUACAGGGUUACAUUUCCUCAUACUCUAGCUACAAAUAAGCCAUUAGCAUUAAGCACUGCAUGAUUUGCCCCCAUGAAUUGUGGUUUAUUUAGAGAACAUUUGCCAAUUAAGCAAAAUGAGCCUUACAUUUGUCAACAGUACACUGACAAUAUAGCUAGCAUAUCCAAUGAGGUCAUCAGCCCUUCUAGGAAAUAAUAGGUGUCUGAGGAACAUCAUAGGACAAAUCUAUACUUGGCAUGAUCACAUGCAAAGGAGUAAGUCAUAAAUUGGAAGUCAGGUAAUGAAUUGGAAGUAAACCUAGUCAGUUCCAUACAGAAUUUUUUCAUCAUAAGCUCCAGACAGUCCAAUGUCUGCAAUCAACACAAGCAUACAAUAUAUGUCUAAGAGAACAAGAGCCAGUAUUUAUUCAUACCUGUGGUUUCAUUGUUAAUCCAUGUCAUUAAUGCUUAGGGGUCAGAAUACAAGAUGCUGAAAAGGCAUCAUUGUCAAAAGAGCUUAUCAUCUUUUGGAAGCCAUACAAAACCCAGGCCCAUCUCUGUACUGCCAAUGACGUGUUUUGAUGGCACCAGUACACUAGCUGUAAGAGCAGAUCCCUUCACGUUUUGCUUGGUCUCUCUCCUUUUCUCACUCACUCCCUUUAUUUACUGGUAUAAGGAGCUGGAAGCAAAACAACACAGUGGCUCUUUUAGAGGUAGAAGAGUAAGAGCAGCUGCUAAUUUGAUUGAAAUGGGAAGGUGGACAGAGAUAUAAUGAAAUAACUGCAGCAAUUGUUCUGAGAGACCUUACACUGUCCUCGUCACAGCACAGAAGAAGCUACAUAGCUGCUGCAACCAAUGCUGAAUAAAUCAGCAAUAUUGUUUUUAAAAGAAAGAGGAAAUGGAGGAUACAUCUAGCUUAGCAAAUAUUCUCUUUUCUUUUUUAAUGGAGUACUAUGGCAUACUGAAAUAUACAGUAAUCAGAAAAUAGCAAAACUGCCACAUCAUAAUAACAUUUUAAAGGUCUUAAAAACAUUUAUACAGCUUCUGAAGAAGACUUAAAAAGGCAGAAUGGUUUAAAUUUACUUACAGUUCUGCAUCUUGUAACAUUUCGUAUUUUCCUUCACUUCUGCUUUGCUGUGAGUUGAGCUCCCUGCUCAUCCAUGGUUCAUCCAGUGGCUCACAGACUGUGCUUUGGUGAUACAAAAGUUUGCUGUCCUCUUUGUUUGGCAGCAAACAAUAUGAAGAACUGAUAGAGCUGGCACCAGAGAUCAGAAUGGUACUUGUGUGCCUGUAUGGACAAUGAGAUGGUGCACGGAGGAAGGAACAAAUGGCAGCAAGGGGAAAGCUUCUGUCCAUCUAAUACUGGUGAGCUACCACUCACUUCAUCGGGUCAAUAUCUAUGGCAUCAGUGUAGAAAUACUUGAGAAAGAAAGAAAACUCUCACAGGAUCAAUUAAAGUUAAACCUAAUGCCAGGGAUUAUAAGAUCUUUUCAAGUAUAUUUAAGCCUUAGUAUCUUCUAUUCUUACAGCCUUCUAUUUUUAUAAACUGUGUUUCUUCUUGUUGCCCUUUGAUUUCUGUCGAUAUUGUUUGAUAUUCUGUUUUGAAAAGAAAAAAGAUUAGAUGUUCCUGUGAUCUCUAUGACAACAGGCUUAAUGCUGCUAUCGCAGUCUUGAGAAAUUAAGAUUCCAUAGAUUGCAAACAGAAUUGGAUCAAGAACAUUUGAUAUUACUGAAAAUUAACAGAAUUAAAAAAUAAUAAAUUACAAACAGAACUUUUUGUGGUAUCACUUAUAGAUCAGCACACUACUAUGAACUUUGUACUUCAACACUUUGGCAACUACCUGAAACCUGAUGAAAUUAAAUCUUUCUUUACAAGACCUACUUGAAUUGAGGAGAUGUACAAUUUAUUGCGAAUUUAUCAUGUGACUAUUCCUAUUGAAUUUUUUUACAUCCUUCCAAAGGCUCCAUUUACAAUUAGAGUUCUGCCACAUUUUUGAACUUCCAGGGAAUACCAGCAGUAAUGUCUGCUGUGGAAAUAUCGUUAAAUGGAGGAAUGCUUUUUAAAUAGGCGGAGCUCCUAUGCUUACUUUAGAGAUGCCAGUAAGAACUUUUCUACGUUAUCUAAAAGGGUACCCUAAAAAGUGUUCAUUUUAGUGCUUAGCCCCAGGCAUCCAGUGCUGUUUGAGAUGCUCGUGUCUCCUCCAAAUGUCCAUCUGUGGCUUCUGGAAGACGCAGGCCUCCUGCUGAUUGUAAUCUGACAGACCUAUGCCUCAAAUGCCCAGGACUACCAAUGUUUAGGCAACUGAAUUAAGCCUUUAGUUACUACAUAUUUGGCCUAAGUGUGGUUAUGAUUUUCUACUGUAUGUCAUCUGUGCUUUUAAUAUGUCUAGCAAUAAAUAUGGUUCAGUGUUUAAGUUAAUGUCACACUUGAUAGGAAAAUAAUGGACACACAGGUUUAGAUCGUUUCAAUUGCAUGGCGUAUCUGUAGAUCACACAUGUCAUCUUAUGAAACUGGAAUAGCUCUAGAGGUAUGCUUUGUUUAUUCCUGCAGUGCUUGGCCAGCAUAACAACCACAAAAAUUUCCUUCUUUGCUGUCAGUCUGCUGUGGCUCCCUCAUAAAGAUUAUUGCUGAUGUUAUUACAUGUUAGUUUUUCAGUUUGCAUUCAUAUACCUCUGUUUCAGAGAGUGACGUGCAAACAGGCUACGUGCUUUUCUUAAUGAGCCUGAACAUGACUCAGUUAUGUGAUUCUUGAGAACCUACGCUGUGGAGAACAAAGAUAACAGACUAUUCUGGUAGCUUACUGAGGAGAAAGAAUUUUCAAAUAGAUAGAGGGGUUACUAGUCUCCUUGCAAGGCUAAGUACAAACUUUUGCUUCCAAGAGAUAGCAGUUUAAAGUGGAAGAGCACCACUUAGUGCCCGACCUGGAUGUCUGACAGGCUUCAGGGCUGGAGUCUGGGUGGCAAGGGUGAUCCUUGAAAAACUGAAGUACUUGCAGGUGGUGAGUUUCAUUGCGAGCACCUGUCUGGUUCCUCACUGACACCCAGAUGUUUUCAAAUACAUGAUUAACUUUGGAGAAGAGGUGAUCAUUGUAAUUGUGGGGAUCCUAGAUGAAGAAGGAGUCUAGUAAAGUGAAGCUCUUAAAAUACCCCUAAAAAUACUUUUCUGAUUAAGCCAGUCAUUCUACUACAGUCAAUCAAGCCAGGAAGAUUAAAGUAAGAUUUCUUGAAAAGCAUAAAAGGAAAUAACAAAUGUUGUUAUUAUGGGUUUCUUUGGCUUUGUUUUGUUUCUUCUUGGCAAUGUGUUGAAGGAAAAGCAUCACCAGGUCUGCUACGCCAGCAACUUGUCAUUCUGAGCUCUUUUGCAGGGUUUUAUUUCUUCUUGUGCAUGUAUGGCUGCCAUCUACUCUAAUCAAACUCAAUCAAGAGUCAACUGUGUUGUAUUAACUAUUGUUCUCUUGACUGCAGCAUUCUGUAAUAGAUUUUUAAGAUCUGCACUGACUCAUACAAUACAUAUCUAAUCAAAAGCAAAUUAAACUACACAUUCUGACUUGACAUUAAUGGCAGAUUAGCAUUUACAGCAACAGAAUAGUGAUGCUUUUCAUUAUAUAAGAUCAGAAAAGAAAACAAGAGCUACACUUUGUUUGUUUUCUCAGUGUAUAUUAUUGCUUGUCCUUAACUGAACUUUUAAUUUUUAUUACUACUUUUAUUCAAGUUAAUUUAAUAUAUGUUGGAUACUGUUUUUUUUUUUAACCCGAGUCCUUAAAAUUUUCUAUUUUAUACAGUUAAGUGGGAUAGGAGUUAAUUGAGAGUACUUACUCAUAUUUUUAUGAAUUCCUCUUAUAAAUUAUUUGUAUUUUGUAGAGAUUCUAUCAAUUUUCACUCUCACUUUGAGCUUACUAUGUAACACAUGUAUAAAAUUGUUUUAAGUAGUUGUCUGUCUGAUCACUGCUGUAAUACAACUAUCUCUGCUCUUUUCAUAGUUCCAUUGAAAAUGUGUGUCAGCACUUUAUUUAUUCAUUUAUUUAUUUAUUUUAGGGAGUUGCAGUUUAAUUAUAAAGAAGGGCAGUAAAUUAAGUGUCUACAGAGUUAAUACCAGUACCAAGGCAGAACCUAUGUAGGUUAAACUAGGUUAUAUGGAUGCUGGUCAGUUUAGAUGUCUGCAUUAGGUACAAAAACUGUUCAGUUAGCCUCUUAAUUCCCCAUAGCAUGUUGUGGCAAUCUCCUCAAGUGAGCUGUUGAGUUUCAAGGUGGCUUCACUUCAGUCACUGUGGCUUCUUGAGCAGGUAUGAGCACAGUGUGUAUUUAACAAGUGCCUAUAUCUGACAGACUCAGAGAGCCCAGUCCCAAAUAAAGUGUCUUGUAGUGUUCCAGGAGGUGUUAGCUGUUGUCUCAUGAUGGAACUACUUCCUUUCCAAAGGAUCUGAAGCACAGUAUCUUUUUACAGAAGAAAUUGCUCUUCAGUCCCUACUAGCUAUCCUUCUGCAUGUUUGAACAGUCAAGUGCUCCCACCCUAGAUUGUGGCGAUGCAUAAUCUUGGCCCCUGUGAGAGACGCACCUUCCCAUCUUUACCUAAGUAGUGGUCACUAUUCUACUAGAUGGCUCUUGUCAAGCAUUAAAUAUUCAUCAUUUCAUUGACUACAUUGGGAGCACUGAGGAUGUAACUCCUUUUCAUCUUCAAGAAGAUUCUCCUAGUCUGUUAAAAUGCAGUGUUCACUGGAAUUUUGUCUGACCAUUAGUUCUCAUCCCAGAAGUAAGUAACAUUUUCCCCAGUGUUUAUAUUUGAGGAGGACUGACUUUGAAUUUGUUGCAGCAACACUCCAGCCAAGGUUAGAGCUGAGGGUCCCAGGUUGCCAGUUCCACCUCUUCUCUUGCAGAAGUCCUAUCCUCUGCCAUAUGGUACAGACGGCCUGCCUAGGAUGUGCAUGUUUAGGGCAACCAGAACAGUGAGAGGUAGGAUGGUUGCUGAUGGAAAUACUGUUGCAAGCGUUUUGUAUUUUUUUUUUAUCAUUGCUUUAGAAGUAGACGAUUACCCAUUUUAUCAGAAUAAGAAGUGUCUCAUAACUUAAUGGCCUGAAAGAACUUGGAGAGUUCCUUUGAGUCGGCAUUUGGGCUGAGUUAGCUUGUUUGUUUCUGUUGGGGAUUCUCUUUUUUCUUUUGAAACUAAUCAUAAGGGAAAGAGCUAGAAAGCCUUCCAUGGUGUCAAAAAGACAAUCAAGAGGUAGGUAGUUAAUCAAGACUAUAUUAAGAAUUCCACACUUUUAUUAUUAUAUAGGAAUAUAAAUGAGAAAGGAAACAACUGAUAUUUUUAAUAGCCACUAAAGCAAGAAAAUCAUUAGCAGAUAUUAAUAUCUGCUUUAUAUUAGUAAAUCUAAAGCAAAUCAUUGUCCAAAAUAAAUAGUAAUAUAUUAUUUGCUCCUUCACUGAGUAACAGUUUGCAUUAUUUAUCUUGAGUCCACACUAGUGGAAGUGAUGGACUUUUUCCAUGGAUUUACCAACCUUACACUGAAAGAAAUGACAAGACUGUCACUGUAUGGCUUAGUUGCAGCGUAGUGACUUAAGAAAAAAUAUAAAGCAUAAAGUUUUAAAAUUCCUGUUGCUCCUAAGCAUGAAUAUUCUCAAAGAAGCAGUAAUUCUUGAGGUGGAAAUAUGUGAGUAUACAUCAGUGGUAUAUCGUUAUUCCCACAGCAAACAGCUUCUCAAGCUUCUACAAAGCAGCACCCUCUACUUGUGCCACUGAUUGGCUUUCCUACUAGGCCACAACCUGUAUUUUUGGAAAGCUAGUAGGCCCUCAAAAAUGAUACCAGAUUUGCAUAUGUUACAGCAUGAUUGGGUGAAAAUGUACAUUUGACUGUGUAAAUAAGGUCCUUAUUUUCUUGUUAUUUGUCUCUGCUUAGCACUGUGAUGAACUCAUGAUUAUACACUAAUUAAUAACAAUACAAGUAUGUUUUCCAUAUACUUCAAAAUUAUGCUGCAUUGAACAGAAACCACCUAGGCCAAUUUCAUGGAAAAGACUUACUUUAUAUUGACAUUUCUAAAUAUGACCUGAAUGUAACUAUAAGAGAACACCAGAAACAUUAUAUCAUCAUUGGGAGAUUUUUAAUGUGAAUUUGGUGGAAAAGUGUCUCAUCUUUAAAUAAACAACAGACUUCUUUAUGUUAUACAUUCCAAUUUAAAGAAAAAGAUAAAAGUCUUGUGCUGCUUCGUUUUUUAUAUUCUAUGUUGUGAUAGGCUUCAGAAUAAACAACAGUGUUUUUUCCUUGGCUGAUAAAACCUUAUUUAACAAUGUUAUUCUGCAUGGCACACACCUGGAGAUGAAAAGCUUUUUCAUUCCAUAUUAAAAGAGACAUUAAGUUGCUAUUUUUUGUCUCCUGUGCUUUCAGAAGUGGUGCUUAAUGAUUAUUUAUUAUUAUAUUAAUACAUAGAGUCAGAGUCCUUAGAGUUGGAAGGGACCUCUGAGGACCAUCUAGUACAACUCCUCUGCAGUGAUCAGAGACGCCACAGCUACAUCAGGUUGCCCAGGACCUGAUCCAGCCUUGCCUUGAAAGUCUGCAGGGAUGGGGCAUCAACCACAUCACUGGGCAACCUAUUCCAGUGCCUCACCACCCUCAGCGUAAAAGAUUUUUUCCUUAUAUCUAACCUAAAUCUACCCUCCCUGAGCUUGAAACCAUUCUCCCAUGUGCAUGCAUAAUAUUUAUUGCACCUUUUUAGGGCUUAUUAGCUCCAUUUAAUCAACUCAAAUAUCAGAGGGUCAUUUUGUGGGGGAAAAAAAGUUCAUGCUGAUGUAAUUUAGUUGUGAUAAAGAAGAAGCUUUUGUGCCUCCACCAAGGAAUUUAGAUGAUAAUUUUACAUGCCUGUUAAAUAUUCUAGACUAACAUGCACAGCACAUGAAAUGAAUGAAUUUCCUUGGGAAAAGUACAGUACAACUAUUUUUAAAGGUGCAGGUUUAGAAACAACAGAAUUUUAGAAGUAAUUAAUGAGAUUCUGAUCUCAUGAAACACGUAACAGUAGGAAACUUCUCAUUCCAGAGCAGACAAAUCUGUAAGGAAAUAAAAGUACCUCUUUUACUAUAUCCUGUCUUCUGAAAUUCUGCCCCUAAGUUGCAAACUCGUCUUCUGCCAGUAAGCCAGAAAUGGAAACUCUUAUGUUCACACCUUUAUAUUGAUGCUCAUUAUAUAUCUUUAUAAUUUUAUAUUGAUAUUCACCCAGCUUUGUGCUUUUAAAAGGGAGAUUAAUUCAGUGCUUCCUCUGUUCUUAUCUCUUGGAUUUUCAGUUGCAAUGUGUGGACCCCAAAAUUCCAUUUUGCAUGAUCAGAACAUGGUGUUAAAGCAGUUAGAAACUAUCUAUAUUCCAAAAUUGAUGCAAAGAUAAGAUUCAUUGGAAAAAAAAAACCUGAUAUACAAAAAGUAACAACUGCUGCCUGUUUAUUUCAUACCAAACAUUACUUUGAUAAACUGUGUAUGAUUGAUACCCAUCUACUGGACAAGUAUUAGGUUAUCAUUUCAUAUUAAUAUUAUAAAACCAGAUAUAUUGUUUUGAUUUGAGGUUACACAUUAGGAAAAAUAUCUUCUCAGGAGUGGUGAGGGAUUGGAACAGGCUGCCCAGGAAGGUGGUGGAGUCACCAUUCCUGGAGGUGUUCAAGAAAUGUCUGGAUGUGGCACUGGGAUGUGGUUAGUGGGUGAUAUUGGUGGUAGGUGGACACUUGGACUAGAUGAUCUUAGAGGUCUUUACCAACCUUAGUGAUUCUAUGAUUCUAAAUAUAUCCUUAUUUUAUUAAAUAUAUAUUAGCUCCCAUAUGGCUUUUAGCUUUUACUGUGUGCUAAGUAAGAUACACACUGUACGUUUUAAGAUGCGCUGUUGAGUAGUGAUCUCCUAUUCACAUCAUAAAUCACACUGAUAAGUAAAUAGUUGUAUGCAGUUGCAUUGGUAUAGCACCAUUAAAAUUUAUGAGUCUGCUUUAUUACAGAUGGAAGAGGAAGUUGGUACAGGUGUUUGGGUUCUUAUUUUUUCACUGUAUUAAAUAAUUACAAAAAGUAAAUUGUUUCCCAAAUGCAAUUGCAGAUGAAAAAAACAAACAAACAAACAAAAAAACCUGCAGGAUUUCCCAUUGUGAUGGGGAUCCAGAUGUGGGAACUGGCACUGCAUUGCAGUAUAUCUAUAGGCAGUUAGGGUUCUAAGUGGGUUUCUUGCUUCUGAAACCCAAGACAAGAGAAUUUACUGUUUAGUUACAUGUGCUAUCAGCUCUGUCUUCUGGUCACACUGCUACUAGUGAGAGUGGUUAGAGCAGCUGCACAGGAGACUCACAAGAUCUCAGCUUCUUGUUUCCCGUGGGUUAGCUCCAUUCAGACACAUCUCUUCUUAUGCAAAUCCGUAACUGAAUGUACAGAUGUUUUUCUCAUUGGUUGCUGUAUGUUAGUACUGAAAGAAAUUGGCUGAAAAAAAAUGUGAUGAAUAAAUAAAAUAAGCAAACAUACAAUUCUUGUAAUAGAAGUUAGGUGGAAAAAUGAGAGUAGUGGAUAGAGAUCUGCCAACAUACUGGUCUUGGCCAUAUCAGCUUCUUAAGUAUGUUGGAUUCUAAGGUAUGGUUACAUAAUAUUGCUAGCUGCUUUUAAUUCACUGUUUGUUAUUGAUUUCAGGAAGGUGAUUCUGCCUGUCUAUUCUGUGCUGGUGAAACUUCACCUGGAAUAGUGUCCAGAUUUAGAGUCCUCAGUACAGGAGAGACAUGGACCUGUUAGAGUGUGUCCAGAGGAGUGCCACAAAACUGAUCCAAGGAAUGGGAUACCUCUCCUAUGAAGACAGGCUGAGAGAGCUGGGGCUGUUCAGCCUGGAGAAGAGAAGGCUCCGGGGAGACCUGAGACAGGCCUUUCAGUAUCUGAAGGGGACAGGCUCAUCAGCAGGGUCUGCUGUGGUAGCACAAAGAGAAAUGGUUUCAAAUCUAAAAGAGGGGAGAUUUAGAUUGGAUAUAAGGAAAGGCUUUUUUAUUAUAAGGGUAGUAAAGCACUGGCACAGGUUGCUCAGAGAGGUGGUGGAUGCCCUGUCCCUGAAGACAUUCAAAGUCAGACUGGACGGGGCUCUGAGUAACUUGAUCUAGCUGUAGGCAUCCCUAUUCAUUACAGGGGAGCUGGACUAGACGGCCUUUAAGGGUCCCUUCCAACUCAAACAAUUCUAUGAUUCUAUGGUUUUUGCUUGAGUAAUGAUAAAAUAAAAAAUUUUUAAAAAGCCUCCAUGUCACACAUCUGUGACAGUCUAUUGAAUCCUGUUGACUUUAAGACCAGACCAGUACUGAAGUACAGCAUGACCCUGCAAAUCAUGUGAGAAUAUUUGAAGUCUCUGGAGUUUUGUCUAAGAUAAUUUGAUGAGAGAUUGUGAUUGGGCCUCAAGAUAUAUAGCAUAUAAAUUAAAAAUUGAUUAAGGGCUGGAGUACCUCUCCUGUGA